rnacentral:rRNA from 1 species
GAUGAACGCUGGCGGCGUGCCUAAUACAUGCAAGUCGAGCGAACAGACGAGGAGCUUGCUCCUCUGACGUUAGCGGCGGACGGGUGAGUAACACGUGGAUAACCUACCUAUAAGACUGGGAUAACUUCGGGAAACCGGAGCUAAUACCGGAUAAUAUAUUGAACCGCAUGGUUCAAUAGUGAAAGACGGUUUUGCUGUCACUUAUAGAUGGAUCCGCGCCGCAUUAGCUAGUUGGGACGGUAACGGCUUACCAAGGCAACGAUGCGUAGCCGACCUGAGAGGGUGAUCGGCCAGACUGGAAGUGAGACAGGGUACAGACUCUGACACGAGGCAGCAGUAGGGAAUCUUCCGCAAUGGGCGAAAGCCUGACGGAGCAACGCCGCGGGAGUGAUGAAGGUCUUCGGAUCGUAAAACUCUGUUAGUAGGGAAGAACAAAUGUGUAAGUAACUAUGCACAUCUUGACAGUACCGAAUCAGAAAGCCACGGCUAACUGCGUG